GACACUUUGGCCGAGUGGUUAAGGCGAUGCCCUGCUAUAGUCUGGCACUUUGGCUGAGUGGCGUAGGCAUUGGAGUUUCUCCGCGUGUGUUCGAAUCGCACAGGUGUCG